rfam:Porphyromonadaceae bacterium CG2_30_38_12 cg2_3.0_scaffold_308_c, whole genome shotgun sequence.
UGUCUUAUGGUGUAAUGGUAGCACUGCAGUUUCUGGAUCUGCCUGUCUAAGUUCGAAUCUUAGUAAGACAA